AACGAACGCUGGCGGCAUGCCUAACACAUGCAAGUCGAACGAGACCUUCGGGUCUAGUGGCGCACGGGUGCGUAACGCGUGGGAACCUGCCUUUAGGUUCGGAAUAACUCAGAGAAAUUUGAGCUAAUACCGGAUGAUGUCUUCGGACCAAAGAUUUAUCGCCUUUAGAUGGGCCCGCGUUGGAUUAGCUAGUUGGUGGGGUAAAGGCCUACCAAGGCGACGAUCCAUAGCUGGUCUGAGAGGAUGAUCAGCCACACUGGGACUGAGGCACGGCCCAGACUCCUACGGGAGGCAGCAGUGGGGAAUAUUGGACAAUGGGCGAAAGCCUGAUCCAGCAAUGCCGCGUGAGUGAUGAAGGCCUUAGGGUUGUAAAGCUCUUUUACCCGAGAUGAUAAUGACAGUAUCGGGAGAAUAAGCUCCGGCUAACUCCGUG
rnacentral:rRNA from 1 species